GAGUUUGAUCAUGGCUCAGGACGAACGCUGGCGGCGCGCUUAACACAUGCAAGUCGAACGGGGCCCUUCGGGGCUCAGUGGCGAACGGGUGCGUAACACGUGAGCAACCUGCCCAUGCAUGGGGGAUAACCAAGGGAAACCUUGGCUAAUACCGCAUACGUUCCCUGGCUCGAGUGAGCUGGGGAGGAAAGCUGCUGCGAGGCAGCGUGCGUGGAGGGGCUCGCGGCGUAUCAGGUAGCUGGUGAGGUAACGGCUCACCAGGCCGACGACGCGUAGCCGAUCUGAGAGGAUGAUCGGCCACAUUGGGACUGAGAUACGGCCCAGACUCCUACGGGAGGCAGCAGUGGGGAAUCUUGCGCAAUGGGCGAAAGCCUGACGCAGCGACGCCGCGUGCGGGAGGAAGCUCUUCGGGGUGUAAACCGCUGUCAGGGGGGAAGAACGGACCGUGGAGGAAAUGACACGGUUUUGACGGUACCCCCAGAGGAAGCACCGGCUAACUCUGUGCCAGCAGCC
rnacentral:rRNA from 1 species